rnacentral:rRNA from 1 species
AUGAACGCUGGCGGCGUGCCUAAUACAUGCAAGUCGAGCGAACGGACGAGAAGCUUGCUUUUCUGAUGUUAGCGGCGGACGGGUGAGUAACACGUGGAUAACCUACCUAUAAGACUGGGAUAACUUCGGGAAACCGGAGCUAAUACCGGAUAAUAUUUUGAACCGCAUGGUUCAAAAGUGAAAGACGGUCUUGCUGUCACUUAUAGAUGGAUCCGCGCUGCAUUAGCUAGUUGGUAAGGUAACGGCUUACCAAGGCAACGAUGCAUAGCCGACCUGCGAGGGUGAUCGGCAACACUGGAACUGAGACACGGUCCAGACUCCUACGGGAGGCAGCAGUAGGGAAUCUUCCGCAAUGGGCGAAAGCCUGACGGAGCAACGCCGCGUGAGUGAUGAAGGUCUUCGGAUCGUAAAACUCUGUUAUUAGGGAAGAACAUAUGUGUAAGUAACUGUGCACAUCUUGACGGUACCUAAUCAGAAAGCCACGGCUAACUACGUG